rnacentral:rRNA from 1 species
UACAGAGACUGCAAGCGUUAUUCGGAUUCACUGGGCGUAAAGCGUGCGCAGGCGGUUAUGCAAGACAGAUGUGAAAUCCCCGGGCUUAACCUGGGAACCGCAUUUGUGACUGCAUAGCUGGAGUACGGCAGAGGGGGAUGGAAUUCCGCGUGUAGCAGUGAAAUGCGUAGAUAUGCGGAGGAACACCGAUGGCGAAGGCAGUCCCCUGGGCCUGUACUGACGCUCAUGCACGAAAGCGUGGGGAGCAAACAGG